GAAAUAAGGUAAUCAAAAGAAAGCUUCUAACUUCUCUUUUUGGCAGUGAAAUUCUGUUAUUAUUUCU
rnacentral:tRNA from 1 species